GAGCCCGUAGCUCAGCGGUAGAGCAUCUGACUUUUAAUCAGAGGGUCGUGGGAUCGUACCCCACCGGGCUCA
rfam:Reticulomyxa filosa solexa1056355_1.exp, whole genome shotgun sequence.